rnacentral:rRNA from 1 species
UACGAAGGGGGCUAGCGUUGUUCGGAAUCACUGGGCGUAAAGCGCGCGUAGGCGGCUUGAAAAGUUGGAUGUGAAAUCCCGGGGCUCAACCCCGGAACUGCAUUCAAAACUUUCUGGCUAGAGACUUAGAGAGGUGGGCGGAAUUCCGAGUGUAGAGGUGAAAUUCGUAGAUAUUCGGAAGAACACCGGUUGCGAAGGCGGCUCACUGGCUAAGUUCUGACGCUGAGGUGCGAAAGCGUGGGGAGCAAACAGG